rnacentral:rRNA from 1 species
GUCCACGCUGUAAACGUUGGGCGCUAGGUGUGGGGGACCUCUCCGGUUCUCUGUGCCGCAGCUAACGCAUUAAGCGCCCCGCCUGGGGAGUACGGCCGCAAGGCUAAAACUCAAAGGAAUUGACGGGGGCCCCGCACAAGCGGCGGAGCAUGCGGAUUAAUUCGAUGCAACGCGAAGAACCUUACCUGGGUUUGACAUGGCCGCAAAACUGUCAGAGAUGGCAGGUCCUUCGGGGCGGUCGACAGGUGGUGCAUGGCUGUCGU